rnacentral:rRNA from 1 species
GUGUCAGCAGCCGCGGUAAUACGUAGGGUGCGAGCGUUGUCCGGAAUUACUGGGCGUAAAGAGUUCGUAGGCGGUUUGUCACGUCGUCUGUGAAAACCCACCGCUCAACGGUGGGCCUGCAGGCGAUACGGGCAGACUUGAGUACUGCAGGGGAGACUGGAAUUCCUGGUGUAGCGGUGAAAUGCGCAGAUAUCAGGAGGAACACCGGUGGCGAAGGCGGGUCUCUGGGCAGUAACUGACGCUGAGGAACGAAAGCGUGGGUAGCAAACAGGAUUAGAAACCCCGGUAGUCC